GUUCUUGCUUCAGUAGCACAUAUACUAAAAUUGGAAUGAUACAAAAAAGACUAGCAUGGCCUCGGCCCAAGGAUGACACGUAAAUUCGUGAAGCGUGCCAUAUUUUU
ensembl:snRNA U6 U6 spliceosomal RNA